UACGUAGGGGGCAAGCGUUGUCCGGAUUUAUUGGGCGUAAAGAGCGUGUAGGCGGCCAGGGAGGUCCGUUGUGAAAACUCGAGGCUCAACCUCGAGACGCCGAUGGAAACCCCCUGGCUAGAGUCCGGAAGAGGAGAGUGGAAUUCCUGGUGUAGCGGUGAAAUGCGCAGAUAUCAGGAGGAACACCAAUAGCGAAGGCAGCUCGCUGGGACGUUACUGACACUGAGGCGCGAAAGCGUGGGGAGCGAACAGG
rnacentral:rRNA from 1 species